AUACAGAAACGUUAAAAUCCACUUGACUGUUAGUCGGAGUACUUGUCAAACUGCUAUAUAUAGGAAGUUAUUCGUUGAGGAGCAUUAUACAGAAAUUAUCUGACAAAAUGGCAAAAUUCACUUUCGUUCUCUUGGCUAUUUUCGCCGUAGUUGUUCUCGCAACAACUGAAGUUAGUGCAGGUAAAUCUGUACUAAACCUCCAACAAGUACUCAAAGCAGUAGGUGACAGCUGUGAAUGCAAUGCUUGCUCAGCCCAAUGUGUUUCCAGUGGUUACGUAGGAGGUGUCUGCUACCAAGACCAAUGUUACUGUGCUUCAUAAGGUGUGGAAUUCAUGAAAAAAUUUAAUAUCAAUGUACCAAAUUUAAAAAUCAAUAAAAUCAUUUAAGAUCCUUACGUUA